rnacentral:rRNA from 1 species
GUUGAAAAGAACUUAGAGGUGAGAGUUCAACAGGGCGUAAAACCGCUUAGAAGCAAACGGUUGGUGCUGGCAUUAAAUCCGCCGGAUUCAGCCGGUCUAUGGGUGGUUCGCCUGCACGCUGAUCGCAAGACAGCUGUGUGGGUUGAUUCUGCCUCAGAUCGGUGCAUUUUCGACGGAAAGCAUCAUGACCGACAGCUGCGCUGGCAUACGGCUGGUGGAUUGCCGACUGUGGGUCUUCGGACUUGCAGUGCCCCAUCCACCGUGCCCUGUCCGGGUUGCGGCUGUCGGAUAACUGAACGCGCUCGCUUCGCUCAUCAGGUGCAGUCAUUCGGCUGGUCGAAUCUGUGUAUCUUGCGUGCAAGAUGCGCUAAACCUCAGCUGUCUGGCGGUGCUUGUUAUGAGAUGCGCUAAAGGUCUAUGAUGUCCGCGUCAGUCUCCCAACCGACCCGUCUUGAAACACGGACCAAGGAGUCUAACAUGUGCGCAAGUCAUGGGGUGGAAAACCCAAAGGCGUAAUGAAAGUAAAGGCCGCAAGGCCGAGGUGUGAUGUCUGGCUUGACCGGACCGCAACACCGUCCCAUCGCAUCGGCUCGUCCGAGCGGUGGAGAAAGAGCGUACCUGUUGGGACCCGAAAGAUGGUGAACUAUGCCUGAGCAGGAUGAAGCCAGAGGAAACUCUGGUGGAGGUCCGUAGCGGUUCUGACGUGCAAAUCGAUCGUCAGAC